UACGAAGGGGGCUAGCGUUGCUCGGAAUCACUGGGCGUAAAGGGUGCGUAGGCGGAUCUUUAAGUCAGGGGUGAAAUCCUGGAGCUCAACUCCAGAACUGCCUCUGAUAGACUGGGGAUCUUGAGUCCGGAAGAGGUAAGUGGAACUGCGAGUGUAGAGGUGAAAUUCGUAGAUAUUCGCAAGAACACCAGUGGCGAAGGCGGCUUACUGGUCCGGUACUGACGCUGAGGUGCGAAAGCGUGGGGAGCAAACAGG
rnacentral:rRNA from 1 species